UAAGCCAAUCAAUAACCGUCUUGAAAUAAUUCAAACUCACUAACAUGGUCGAUCACUUUCCACACAAAGAAAUUGACCUAACAAGAAGUAUUUAUCCUAAGAAAUCAGCACUGCAACAUCUCUGCAGGUGCUGCGUGCAUAUCCAGACACAGCAGGAUGAAUCGAGACUUACUAGGAGGCGGAGCACCCAAAAGUGCAAUCUCAUUAAUCAUAUGAGAGCACUCAAAAGUGUUAAAAGUUCCAUUCGUGACAAAACACUAUGUGAUCUUCAAACAAUCAAACAAAGUUUCAUGAUAAAUCAUUAAAUAAUAAGACUAUACCACCAUAGUUCUCAGCUUGACCAAUCCUUCCACCUCCCAACUACUGAUUUUUCUUGUAGCCGACACUGCAAUUAUUGUUCUACUUCAGAAAGCACUCUGAGGAGCAUGCAUUAUGAUCUGUCAAAACCUUAACAUCAUGCAGACAAUGCGCAGGAGGCACAAUCCAACGGGUUUUGGUGGCCUUGUUCUAUCACUUCCCAACUCAUGGA